CUGAAUCAUUAGAUUGAUCAAAUUGAAACUAAUUAACUAAUUGGUGUCUAAGAUAAGUUUGACAUUUUGAUCGAUGUUUUUUAAUUGAGAGUGGCUUAGCUGACCAUUUCGAUGGUGUCUAAGGCAAGUUUGGCAUAUCCUCCCACCGAUCUUGCUUACCUGACCAAUUUGAUGGAUUAUAUUUUGAUUAGACUGCUAAAUGAUUUGAGUGAUCCAUGCCAUUAAGAUUGAUCAGUGUGACUGAUCUAGGUGCCAUUUCAAUCAACAUGAACCUAAUCUGAUUUAAUGACUUGAUGAAGUCAGUGGGAGGAUUAUGAUCUACUGAUUGAUCUUUUUUCUUUUCUCUUAAUUCUCAAAUUAAAUUCUCUAAAUUAUUAGGUCCUGUUGGUGCAGAAUUUCAUCGAAGCUGGAGCUGCUGAAG
rnacentral:lncRNA from 1 species